AGAGUUUGAUCAUGGCUCAGGAUGAACGCUAGCGACAGGCUUAACACAUGCAAGUCGAGGGGCAGCGAGGGAGUGGCAACACUUCUGUCGGCGACCGGCGCACGGGUGAGUAACGCGUAUGCAACCUGCCCUUCACAGGGGGAUAACCGGGAGAAAUUCCGACUAAUACCGCAUACGUCCCCUGGGGGCAUCCCCUGGGGAUGAAAGAAUUAUCGGUGAAGGAUGGGCAUGCGUGAUAUUAGGUAGUUGGCGGGGCAACGGCCACCAAGCCCACGAUAUCUAGGGGUUCUGAGGAGGAAGGUCCCCCACAUUGGAACUGAGACACGGUCCAAACUCCUACGGGAGGCA
rnacentral:rRNA from 1 species